CAGCCGCCGCGGGAAUACAGAGGGUGCAAGCGUUAAUCGGAAUUACUGGGCGUAAAGCGCGCGUAGUUGGUUUGUUAAGUUGGAUGUGAAAGCCCCGGGCUCAACCUGGGAACUGCAUCCAAAACUGGCAAGCUAGAGUACGGUAGAGGGUGGUGGAAUUUCCUGUGUAGCGGUGAAAUGCGUAGAUAUAGGAAGGAACACCAGUGGCGAAGGCGACCACCUGGACUGAUACUGACACUGAGGUGCGAAAGCGUGGGGAGCAAACAGGAUUAGAUACCCCAGUAGUCCCUGUCUCUUAUAU
rnacentral:rRNA from 1 species